rnacentral:rRNA from 1 species
UAAUACGAAGGGGGCUAGCGUUGUUCGGAAUCACUGGGCGUAAAGCGCACGUAGGCGGAUUUGUUAGUCAGGGGUGAAAUCCCGGGGCUCAACCUCGGAACUGCCUUUGAUACUGCAAGUCUCGAGUCCGGAAGAGGUGAGUGGAAUUCCUAGUGUAGAGGUGAAAUUCGUAGAUAUUAGGAAGAACACCAGUGGCGAAGGCGGCUCACUGGUCCGGUACUGACGCUGAGGUGCGAAAGCGUGGGGAGCAAACAGG